rnacentral:rRNA from 1 species
CCUACGGGAGGCUGCAGUGGGGAAUAUUGGGCAAUGGGCGCAAGCCUGACCCAGCAACGCCGCGUGAAGGAAGAAGGCUUUCGGGUUGUAAACUUCUUUUCUCAGGGACGAAGCAAGUGACGGUACCUGAGGAAUAAGCCACGGCUAACUACGUGCCAGCAGCCGCGGUAAUACGUAGGUGGCAAGCGUUAUCCGGAUUUACUGGGUGUAAAGGGCGUGUAGGCGGGACUGCAAGUCAGAUGUGAAAACCAUGGGCUCAACUGGUAGUCGCACUCAAAACUGCUAUUCUUGAGUGAAGUAGAGGCAGGCGGAAUUCCUAGUGUUGCGGUGAAAUGCGUAGAUAUUAGGAAGAACACCAGUGGCGAAGGCGGCUUUCUGGACUGAAACUGACGCUGAGGCUCGAAAGCGUGGGGAGCGAACAGGAUUAGAUACCCGAGUAGUC